GUGGGGAAUAUUGGACAAUGGGCGAAAGCCUGAUCCAGCCAUGCCGCGUGUGUGAAGAAGGUCUUCGGAUUGUAAAGCACUUUAAGUUGGGAGGAAGGGCAGUAAGUUAAUACCUUGCUGUUUUGACGUUACCGACAGAAUAAGCACCGGCUAACUUCGUGCCAGCAGCCGCGGUAAUACGAAGGGUGCAAGCGUUAAUCGGAAUUACUGGGCGUAAAGCGCGCGUAGGUGGUUUUGUAAGUUGAAGGUGAAAUCCCCGGGCUCAACCUGGGAACUGCCUCCAAAACUACUGAGCUAGAGUACGGUAGAGGGUAGUGGAAUUUCCUGUGUAGCGGUGAAAUGCGUAGAUAUAGGAAGGAACACCAGUGGCGAAGGCGACUACCUGGACUGAUACUGACACUGAGGUGCGAAAGCGUGGGGAGCAAACAGGAUUAGAUACCCCUGUAGUCC
rnacentral:rRNA from 1 species